AUUGAACGCUGGCGGCAGGCCUAACACAUGCAAGUCGAGCGAGCCGCGGACGGGUGAGUAAUGCCUGGGAAUUGCCCUGACGAGGGGGAUAACAGUUGGAAACGACUGCUAAUACCGCAUACUAUUGGAUGGCACAGGUGGGAUUAGCUAUUUGGUGAGGUAAUGGCUCACAAAGGCGACGAUCCCUCGCUGGUCUGAGAGGAUGACCAGCAACACUGGAACGGAGACACGGUCCAGACUCCUACGGGAGGCAGCAGUGGGGAAUAUUGCACAAUGGGGGAAACCCUGAGGCAGCCAUGCCGCGGGUGUGAAGAAGGCCUUCGGGUUGUAAAGCACUUUCAGCGAGGAGGCGUUACUCGCAGAAGAAGCACCGGCUAACUCCGUGCCAGCAGCCGCGGUAAUUC
rnacentral:rRNA from 1 species